rnacentral:lncRNA from 1 species
CUAGCCCUAUUUAGUAUUUUAUUUAGAAACAGGGGCUUACUGCGUUGCUUAGUGCCUUGCUUUCGCUGAGGCUGACUUUGAAUUCAUGAUCCUCCUGCCUCCCAGGCCGCUGAGAUUUGGUUUGCCACUGCGCUCAGUGAAAAUAGGUUUAAAAAAAAAAAAUCCUAAUUUCAAUUGGUCAUCAUAGCAAUGGGGUACAACCUCCGAAAUGGUUUCCAAUGAUUCCCACCUCCUAGUAUUCACCCACUGUGUACACCCCACUCACAUCAUGCCAGAGUUGGUCUGUGAGAUACAAUACUAUACAAACUAAUACAAUCACGGUUUAGAUUAGGUUAUAGAAGACAUUUUUACUUGUCUUGAAGUAUUCCCAAUACAACCCAAAUAACUUACUCUGGAGAAGUUAAUUGCUGUUUUGGUCAGUUUUGUGUAGCUGUGAUCAAAAGACCUGACAAGAACAAUUUAGAGGAGGAAAAGUUUUCUGAGUGCUCAUGGUUUCAGAGGUCUCAGUCCAUAAUCCACUUACUGUAUGGCUCUGGGCCCAAGGUGAAGCAGAACAUCAAAAGGGCUGUAGGGGCUGAGGUUGUGGCUCAGCAGUAGAGCACUCGCCUAGCACAUCCAAGGCUCUGGGUUCGAUCCUCAGCACCACAUAAAAAUAAAUAGGUAAAAUAAAGGUAUUGUGUCCAACUACAAAUAUAUAUAUAUAUAUAUAUAUAUAUAUACACACACACACACACACAUACAUACAUAUACAUGCUGCAUAGGAAAACAGCUCAGGUCAUAGUACCAAGAAGAAGAGAGAGAGAGCUCUGCUCACCUGGGACAAAAUAAAAACCCCAAAAGCAUGCCCAUUUCCUCCAUCCACAUUCUACCUGCAUAUGUUUACCACCCCGUUAAGCCUAAUCAAUGAAUUAAUCCACUGAUUAGGUCACAACUCUCUUAAACCAAUCAUUUAACCCCUGAAUGUUCUUGCAUUUUUGUUUCACUCAUGAGCUUUUGGGGAAUACCAAGCCAUAUCCAAACCAUAACAGUUGCCAUGUCAUGAGAACACUGAGAAAACCUGUGGAGAGGCCCAUGUAACAAGGACUAGACUUCCAGCCAACAACUGGGAGGAAGGAGGCCUUCAAGUGGAUCAUCUUUGCAUCAGAUUUUUCCUUUCCAAUGAAUUCUUGAGACAACUGCAGGCCUACCCAAUAGUUUGACUGCAAUUGCCUGAAAGUCGGUCAAAACCAUCCAUCCCAGCAGCUCAGUGGUGGAGUGCCUGCAUACACAAAGCCCUAGGUUCCAUUCCCAAUACCACAAAAAACAAAACAAUCAAAGCCCCACCCAGCUAUAGUACCUGACCCUAAAUUUAUGUUUGUUGGUUUAAGCUUAUGAGCUUGGGAUAAUUUGUUAUGCAUCAAUAUAUAACUUCAAUGCGGUGGUAAAUAUAUUAUCAUUUACAUUUCCGAAUUCCUUAAACAAGUUCCUAAACUUGUGAGAUUGUCUUAUCAAAAUGAAAUUAUUAGCAGUUUCCUCUAAUUUUACCAAAAUUGAAUUAUUAGCAGUUUCCUCUUCUUCCACAUGAUAGAAAAAUUAAAGACCUACCUGGACAUAGUAGGGCCUGCUUGUAAUCCUUGCAAAUCGGGAGACUAAGUCAGGAGACUCACAAGUCCAAGGCCAGCCUCAGCAACUUAGCAAGACCCUGUCUCAAAAUGAAAAAGAAAAAGGGCUUAGAGUGUAACUCAGUGGUAAAGUGUCCCUGAUACAAUCCUCCCACCAAAACAAACAAACAAAACAACAACAAAAAAAACCAAAGCCUGUGGCUGUGCUUGUCUUUUAAAUUUUAACAGUAUUGCCAGCGUGGUGGCACAUGUGUGUAAUCCCAGAGGCUUGGGAGACUGAGUCAGGAGGAUUGUGAGUUCAAAG